UCCUCUCAGACAAAUGCCUCGU
rnacentral:snRNA from 1 species